rnacentral:lncRNA from 1 species
UGUCCACGUCAAAAUAAUCCGCGACAACUUCCACAAUGCAGGAUAAGAUGGACGCGAACGGCUCAACACUCUUGGGUUUGGAAUCCUGGCAACAAAGUUUCAGUCGAAAACACACGAGAAAUUCUUUCUUACAUAUUUUCCAGGAAGAAUUAAUGGAGGACUUAUUUUCUCAACGACAUCCACAGCUCCUUUCUUCAUCUUCAUUGUUACAACAGCGAACGCUUCUUGGCCUUUGCAUUAAAACUCUCAUUUUAAAACAAGAAAAAAGCUAUGUAUCUUCACAACUUACAUGUUUUUCUAAAGCGACCACAGAAAAGUUCCUCUUAGAAUCAUUGAAAACGCCUUUGUUCUUCGAUCGAUGGCCACAACAGUGAAGGCCCCUCAAUCCUGUGACGAAUUCAUCAAAGUCCAGCCUAUGGAAUGCUAAGUACGCUCUUUCUUGGCACGAUCCAUGAAGAAUUCCUCCUUGCAGCUUUUUCCUCCCACUUAUCACUCGCUUCCUGCGACCAACGAAGAAACACCAGCAUCAAAAUACAAUGCCGCGAGAGAAAUCUACCUCUAUCCAAGAUCCUCGCCUGGAAAUCGUCACAGCAUCGCAGCGCAAUCCGGCAUUGUGCUCGGCAGUGGCGAAGCACGGCUCCGAAUAGCAGCGAAUAUCUCGAGUGAAGCAGCGACAUUCCAGAGAAACGCGAUCGAUUGCAGAUGAGCGCCGCGAGAGCAUCGAUUCUCUCCUCGUCGCCCUAGCUGCGCUAGA